GCAGCCCGUCCCCUUCGCGGGGCUGAAGGGCAGCAAGCUCGGACCCACUUGCGGGCGGACCCGCGGCUGCCCCCUCUGCCGGCUGGCGCUGGGGAUCUUGGGGCUGGACCUCUGCUCGCGUGGGAGGGGUCAGCACCCCAGAGGUAGGAGCUGGAGCAACCUUAGAGCCGCCUCGUCUGACCUCCUUGCUCCACAGAAAGAGAAACUAAGGCCCAAGACGAGAGUGAUCCACCGGGAUCCCAGGAAUAGCCGUCAUGGGUGACCCUUUGGGACAUGGCCCCCAUUCCUCCCACCUCUCUAACCACCUCUAUCCAAUUGAGAUACCCAAAGUUCCAGAGACCGACCAGGUUAUACACAAGGAGCUCAGCAUCUCAGGAUUUAGAGGUUCUCACAAACACCAGAGCAGAAGUUUGGAGGAUUGUAUCACAGGGAACAAGUAAAGACUCCAUCAAAAAGAAAGAAGACUUCUGGAAAAUUAGGAAAAUUUUAAUUUAUCAUUAACUGUCUACCAGGCACAGUGCUACAUACUUUCCAAAUGUAAAUUUAUAGUAAUCCCAUGAGGUAGAUGCUAUUAUUAUCCCCAUUUCCUAGAGAAACAAAAUGCAGCGCAAGAGAGGUUAAUUAACUUGUCCAAGGACAGAUAGCUACUAUGCAUCAGAGCUGGUAUUCAAACCAGUCAGUCUGCUUCCACAGUCCAUUCUCUUUUCCAUGUGGACUCUGGCAUUCUCUUCUGGAGCAGUUUCACACUUUCCUUUCCAAUGCCCUUGCAGUAAUAAAGGCAAUUUUUGCAGUG